rnacentral:lncRNA from 1 species
CACCUGUCCAAUAAUCACAUCAUAGCCGGCAAGGCUACCAAACCCACACAAGCAUGCAAAAGUAAAAUCAACACUCAUUCAUCACGCAUGCAUCAUGCAAGAAGGUAGUCAAUUUAAUGAUUGAUUGUGAAAAUGCAUAUUAACUACAUGCCGAAUAUUUGUUUGAAAAUUAUGCUACCAUCCCCCAAACUUAUACAGUACAUUGUCCUCAAUGUAAAUGUAAAGUUAGAAAAGCAUAAUUUAAAAAUAUAAACACAACUUGGCAAAUAGAGGUAAACAACACUCCCCUGAUCAAAGUGGUGGUCGUGGUGUGUAGCUGGGACCCGCAGCAUGAUCUUCAGGAGGAGAUGGAAGGCGAGAUAGGAUUUGUCUCAUCAACUCUGUCUGCUGCGCUUGCUCUGCCUGAAUGGAUUGAAGCCUAUUCUCCAUACUUCCCAAUCGAUCCCAGGUUUCGUUCACUCGCCACUGUAUGCCAUCCAUUCUCCCAGCAUACAUGUUGAACCUACCAUUCAUGGUCUCCACUUCCCGUCGUGCCGCUGUGGCUUCAUUCAAAGCACCCCUUGUGUAGUCCCGGGAAGAGUAGAGGUCUCUCUGCACUUUGUCAACAGUGGUAGUCAUGGUCUCGAAACUCUGCUGGAGAUGUUGUAUGUCCCGGCCAGUUCUAGUGGUGGUGGCAAAUAUCUGCCUCAAUACCUGAUUGUCCAUAUCAACCUGGGGUGGUGGUGGAGGAAUUUGAGGCAUGUCAAGGUCUGCAUCUGCUUGACCUUCCUCAUUCAAUUGCUGUCGUCGUCGUGCGUUUUCUAAUUUCUGUUGGUGCUUCAGUCUCGCUCGGUCUUGGGCCUCUAGUGUGGAUUGCUUGAUAAAGGGGCUUGGCUUUUCUGGUGCUUCCCCAGGUUGAAUUUGUAUGCCUGCUGCUCUACA